rfam:Triticum aestivum genome assembly, contig: Triticum_aestivum_CS42_TGACv1_scaffold_050490_1BS
UUUCUGUUUGUGAUUCAUCCUUAGACGGAUGUUGAUCUUAUGUAUGAUGAUGUUGUAUAUGUGUGGCAUUGUAUGCCUUAUGUAUGUAUCCCCAUUUAUUAUGUAAUGUUGAUGUAAUGAUAUCCACCUUGCAAAAGCGUUUCAAUAUGCGGGUCUAUCCUUGGUGGGACCUUCGAGUUCCUUUUGGAUAGGGUCGCAUAUUGGGUGUGACAGCAGCCCAAAUCGGGCGGUAGACUCCGUCCAAGGCUAAAUACAGGCGAGAGACCGAUAGCGAACAAGUAGCACGAGGGAAAGAUGAAAAGGACUUUGAUAAGAGAGUGAAAGAGUGGUUGAAAUUGCCGGGAGGGAAGCAGAUGGGGGCCGGAGAUGCGCCCCGGCCAUAUGCGGAACGGCUUUUGCUGGUCCGCCGCUCGGCUUGGGGUGUGGACUGUUGUCGGCCACGCCGGCGGCCAAAGCUCGGGGGCCCUAGGUGCCCCUGGUGGCCGUCAUCAGCACGGCCAGUACCCGCGCGCCGAAAGGCGUGUCCCUCGGGGCACUGCGCUGCAACGGCCUGCGGGCUCCCCAUCCGACCCGUCUUGAAACACGGACCAAGGAGUCUGACAUGCGUGCGAGUCAACGGGUUCUGAAACCUGGGAUGCGCAAGGAAGCUGGCGAGCAGGAGGCCCUCACAGGCCGCACCGCUGGCCGACCCUGAUCUUCUGUGAAGGGUUCGAGUUGGAGCACGCCUGGCGGGACCCGAAAGAUGGUGAACUAUGCCUGAUCAGGGCGAAGCCAGAGGAAACUCUGGUGGAGGCUUGAAAGCGAUACUGAUGUGGAAAUCGUUCGUCUAACUUGGGUAUAGGGGCGAAAGACUAAUCGAACCAUCUAGUAGCUGGUUCCCUCCGAAGUUUCCCUCAGGAUAGCUGGAGCCCAUUACGAGUUCUAUCAGGUAAAGCCAAUGAUUAGAGGCAUUGGGGAUGCAACGUCCUCGACCUAUUCUCAAACUUUAAAUAGGUAGGAUGGCGCGGCUGCUUCGGUGAGCCGUGCCACGGAAUCGGGUGCUCCAAGUGGGCCAUUUUUGGUAAGCAGAACUGGUGAUGCGGGAUGAACCGGAAGCCGGGUUACGGUGCCCAACUGCGCGCUAACCUAGAACCCACAAAGGGUGUUGGUCGAUUAACACAGCAGGACAGUGGUCAUGGAAGUCGAAAUCCGCUAAGGAGUGUGUAACAACUCACCUGCCGAAUCAACUAGCCCCGAAAAUGGAUGGCGCUGAAGCGCGCGACCCACACCUAGCCAUCUGGGCGAGCACCAUGCCCCGAUGAGUAGGAGGGCGCGGCGGCCACUACAAAUCCCGGGUCGUGAGCCCGGGCGGAGCGACCGUCGGUGCAGAUCUUGGUGGUAGUAGCAAAUAUUCAAAUGAGAACUUUCAAGGCCGAAGAGGAGAAAGGUUCCAUGUGAAGGACACUUGCACAUGGGUAAGCCGAUCCUAAGGGACGGGGUAACCCCGGCAGAUAGCGCGAUCACGCGCAUCCCCCGAAAGGGAAUCGGGUUAAGGUUUCCCGAGCCGAGAUGUGGAGGUUGAUGGCGACGUUAGGAAGUCCGGAGACGCCAACGGAGGCCUUGGGAAGAGUUAUCUUUUCUACUUAACGGCCUGCCAACCCUGGAAAUCGUUCAGCCAGAGGUAGGGUCCAGUGGCCGGAAGAGCACCACACGUCGCGCGGUGUCCGGUGCGCCCCCGGCGGCCCCUGAAAAUCCGGAGGACCGAGUACCGUUCAUGCCUAGUCGUACUCAUAACUGCAUCAGGUCUCCAAGGUGAACAACCUCUGGCC